rnacentral:rRNA from 1 species
AAUCAACGCUGGCGGCGUGCCUAACACAUGCAAGUCGAACGAGAAAGUGGAGCAAUCCAUGAGUAAAGUGGCGACCGGGUGAGUAACACGUGACUAACCUACCUUCAAGUGGGGGAUAACCUCGGGAAACCGGGGCUAAUACCGCAUAAUAUCUUUGGGAUGGAAAUUCUGAAGAUCAAAGGAGCAAUUCGCUGGAAGAGGGGGUCGCGGCUGAUUAGCUAGUUGGCGGGGUAAUGGCCCACCAAGGCUUUGAUCGGUAGCCGGCCUGAGAGGGCGCACGGCCACACUGGAACUGAAACACGGUCCAGACUCCUACGGGAGGCAGCAGUGGGGAAUUUUGCGCAAUGGGGGAAACCCUGACGCAGCAACGCCGCGUGGAGGAUGAAGUCCCUUGGGACGUAAACUCCUUUCGACCGGGACGAUAAUGACGGUACCGGUGGAAGAAG